CCAUUUCUUGAAAUAUCACAGAAACCUUCAGUUCAAAGAAUGGAUUUUCACACUUCCCCUUUUAACUUUUUUUUUUCUUCUAGAUACCCGUGUGCCCUUUAAUUUUAAAAAGAUCUUUACCGGGGGUAGGGAUGGGGGUGAAAAAUACCGCCCUGCGUUUUUGGUGCCCACUUCUUUGUCUGGGGAAUGGCAAGAAGGGGACUGGGAUCCCGUACUCAAGAGCCCCUUUUAAAGACCCAGACCGGGGACGCCUCUGGUUUCAGCAGCUCCCUCCGCUGAGUUAUUGAUUGCAGGCAGCAGCAGUCCCUCAGGUUGAUUUGUGUGGAAAGUGAAUCCUCGCUGGAUAGGCGUUCAGCAGAGGCGCCGCAGCCGCAAAGCCAGCCAAUUAUUGCCGGUCCUCCCCUCCAACCCCGCGCUCACUACCUACACACUCCUUGCUGUGUCAGUCUCCACUUCCCCUCUACCCACGAUCCACCCCCCCUCCCCGCGCGGACGGAGCCGAGGGGGCGGUGGUGGGGGGGCUCCCUCCCCGGGAGCGUUUCUAGAGCUCGGAGGCAGCUCGCAGGGGUUUGACAGUCCACAUGUUUAAGUCUAACAGAAGAAAACAAAAAUCACUGGAUAUGAAGUUAUGAGACAGACCCAAGUCUACAUCUACAUCCUCAUGGUUGGUGACCUUGGAUAAAUUUCAUUUUUGUGCUUCUGUUUCAUUUUCUUUAAAAUGAGUAGUUGAAAGCUUCAAAGACUCAAAGAUUUCAUGAACUUAAAAGAAGACUGAUUGAAAGAAAUGCGUGGCCAUUAUUACCUCGCUGCUCAGUUUAUUCAUGGACACAUACUUGUUACAUACAUCUGAAGUUUCCUUAAGGAAAUGAACUCUGUGGAUGUGAUACUUGGCCAUUGAGAGAAGUGGAAUAAAUAAGAAAAAGAAGGGGGAACAAGUUAGUGACAAAGGAGCCGUGGGCACCACUUUCAGAUAAAAACAUAGACCUGAAUGGCAUCAUCCAGUAUCCAAGGAAACCAUGUAGGUGUGUGCUUGGUGUCUACACAGAUGCUUGGACACAGAGAAGCAAAAUAUGGAGAGAUGGGGUCCGCACCUCAGGCUGAGUGUUCACCUUCUCUGGAACGAGAAACUGUCACCGCUAAGGAAUACUGUCACCGCUAAAGAACACCACACUGUCCAGUAUGGGGGCUGAUCAGAGAGACUGUUCAUGAGGCUUCCUAGACGUAUCCUCGGUUCCUUCAGAAUCUUCCAACAUACACCUUCCUCAGGUA
rnacentral:lncRNA from 1 species